UACGUAGGUGGCGAGCGUUGUCCGGAUUUAUUGGGUUUAAAGGGUGCGUAGGCGGCCCUAUAAGUCAGUGGUGAAAUAUCGCAGCUUAACUGUGAGGGUGCCAUUGAUACUGUAGGGCUUGAGUGAAUUUGAGGUAGGCGGAAUUGACGGUGUAGCGGUGAAGUGCUUAGAUAUCGUCAAGAACACCGAUAGUGAAGACAGCUUACCAAGCUUCAACUGACGCUGAGGCACGAAAGUGUGGGGAUCAAACAGG
rnacentral:rRNA from 1 species